GUUGUGGAGGAGGAAUUCUACACUGUCACACUUGCACCACGUCAUCAAUAACAAGCCAAUCACAUUCCUUCUUUUCAAACAAAAGUACAAUAAAAAUAUUUUUUUACAAUUAUGAUGGGACAUAUAUUCUUAAAAGGAUUAAUUUGAUUGGUUUGUUACGCCACGUCACUAAUAUACCCGUUGCAUUCUAGAAUUUUUCGUUGUGGAGGUGGCCUGUUACGGGGACCGAGGUCAGCCUUUUAUAGAGCGGAAGGGGUGAGCGACAGGGAACCGUUUCUUUCUCUUUCCUUUCUCUCUCUCUCUCUCUCUCUCUCUCCUCUCUCCUCUCAGCCCUCUCUCCCCCCACCCCCUCCCUUUCUUACAUUUUCUUCUUU
rnacentral:lncRNA from 1 species